UGAUGUUAUUCCAAAACUAUUUGGCACUGUUAAUGGUACUCAACUUGAGAAUCUGUUAUGGGAUUUUGUUGAGAGUGUCAUCCAAGAGUCUAUUGAUACACUUGAUGACCCUUUUUCCGAUGUUAAAAGGUUUUUUAAAAUGAUUGUUGAGGAAGCAAAG